rnacentral:rRNA from 1 species
UGCGUAUUCAAUCCCGCGACACUGCAAUCGCUUCGACGACAUUCCGCAAGGUUGUCUAGGAGUGUUGUUGUUGUGCUCGUUGGAUGCAUUUGCGUGCGGAGUGCGCCGAGUGGGUCGAUGUCGCUGCCGGAAGGGCGUAUAGAGGACUCGGGUUUUCGGACUCGAGAAUCCUGUGCGUUCGGAUAGCAGGUGAUGUUGGCUCGCUGUUGUGGAGUGCGGGUGAAUUCGCGAUGGGCGUCGGUUGUGAGUUGUGGUUGCGGAUGGCACAUGUGUCUUCCGUUUCCGCGGCCUACGAUCGGCGUUCGUUGCCCCGGCACUCGACUCGGUGUAUAGUCGGUCACCCAUUCGACCCGUCUUGAAACACGGACCAAGGAGUUUAAGGUGUACGCGAGUCAUUGAGCUGCGAAACUCAAAGGCGUAAUGAAAGUGAGACAUUGGAUGUCGACGAUGUGAGCGUUGGGCGUUUCGACGUCCGGCGCGCAACAUCGCCCCGUGACUAGGACUUGUUCUGUUGCGGAGGUUGAGCGUACGCUUUGAGACCCGAAAGAUGGUGAACUAUGCCCGAACAGGAUGAAGCCAGAGGAAACUCUGGUGGAAGUC